rnacentral:rRNA from 1 species
AUUGAACGCUGGCGGCAUGCCUUACACAUGCAAGUCGAACGGCAGCACGGGAGCAAUCCUGGUGGCGAGUGGCGAACGGGUGAGUAAAGUAUCGGAACGUGCCCAGUCGUGCGGGAUAACGUAGCGAAAGUUACGCUAAUACCGCAUACGAUCUAUGGAUGAAAGCGGGGGAUCGCAAGACCUCGCGCGAUUGGAGCGGCCGAUAUCAGAUUAGGUAGUUGGUGGGGUAAAGGCUCACCAAGCCGACGAUCUGUAGCUGGUCUGAGAGGACGACAGGCCACGCUGGGACUGAGACACGGCCCAGACUCCUACGGGAGGCGGCAGUGGGGAAUUUUGGACAAUGGGCGAAAGCCUGAUCCUGCCAUGCCGCGUGCAGGAUGAAGGCCUUCGGGUUGUAAACUGCUUUUGUACGGAACGAAAAGGUUUGGCCUAAUAAGCUGAGCUCAUGACGGUACCGUAAGAAUAAGCACCGGCUAACUACGUGCCAGCAGCCGCGGUAA